rnacentral:tRNA from 1 species
GGGUAUAUAGCUCAGUGGUAGAGCAUAUAUUUAGCAUGCACAAGGUCCUGGGUUCAAUCCUCAGUACCUCCA